rnacentral:rRNA from 1 species
CGUGCAGGCGGUUCGGUAAGUUGGGCGUGAAAUCUCCCGGCUCAACUGGGAGAGGUCGUUCAAUACUACCGGGCUAGAGAGCAGUAGAGGAAGAUGGAAUUCCCGGUGUAGUGGUGAAAUGCGUAGAUAUCGGGAGGAACACCAGUGGCGAAGGCGAUCUUCUGGACUGUUUCUGACGCUCAGACGCGAAAGCUAGGGUAGUAAACGGGAUUAGAGACCCCGGUAAUCCUAGCUGUAAACGAUGUGAACUUGGCGUCGGUGGCUUAAACACUAUCGGUGCCGAAGCAAACGCGAUAAGUUCACCGCCUGGGGACUACGAUCGCAAGAUUAAA